rnacentral:rRNA from 1 species
CAGCAGCCGCGGGAAAACAGAGGGUGCGAGCGUUAAUCGGAUUUACUGGGCGUAAAGCGUGCGUAGGCGGCUUCUUAAGUCGGAUGUGAAAUCCAUGAGCUUAACUUAGGAAUUGCAUUCGAUACUGGGAAGCUAGAGUAUGGGAGAGGAUGGUAGAAUUCCAGGUGUAGCGGUGAAAUGCGUAGAGAUCUGGAGGAAUACCGAUGGCGAAGGCAGCCAUCUGGCCUAAUACUGACGCUGAGGUACGAAAGCAUGGGGAGCAAACAGGAUUAGAUACCCGUGUAGUCCCUGUCUCUUAUAC